rnacentral:lncRNA from 1 species
CUCUCAUCCAACCAGGGAAGGAAGUUUUUAUCUAUAGAGUAUCAUGGCAAAAUUGGUGAAAUAUGGAUAUCUCCAUUUCUCUUACAAGGAAAAAUGAAUUCACAAUUUAGGGAAUUAACUGAGAACCAUCAAUCUUUUACAUUUUCUUCUACUAUGUGAGCAAUAAACAUGAAAGAAUUUCUACCCCAGACACCAAUCUGGAGGAACAUUUUGUUCCUCAAGUUUAUUGACUCGUUUUAAGUCCUUUGUAAGAGGCAGUAUGUUGUUGUUCCCUCAUUUCAGUUGGGUCCAGCUCUCUAGGACCCCAUUUGGAAUUUUUUUGGCAGAUAUCAGAGUGAUUUGUUGUUUCCUUCUCCAGCCCAUUUUACAGAUGAGCAAACAGACAAAGAGAGUAAAGUGACUUGUUCAGGGUCACACAGCUAGUUAGGGUCUGAACUCAGAAAGGUGAGUCUUCCUGACUCCAGGUCUGUUGCUUCCUCCACUUCACCACCUAAUUGGGCCACAGUAUGGCACAGGAGAUAGAAACUGGCUGUGGAGUCAAGGAGAUGUGCCUUUAAAUCCUUCCUCUUACACAUACUCCCUAUGUGACUCUGAGCAAGUCACUUAAGCUCACCUGGCCCUAUACAUCCCUCCAAGACUAAAAAUUAUAGGUGAGUUACAAAACUGCAUCAGUGGAGGGAGUUUCCACAGCAGAAGUUCCCCUAUGGCAAUAAAAUCACAAGUUUGGACCCAAAACAAAAAAUGUCCCAUGCAGAUUCCCAUUCAGGCGCUGUUGGGACGGGAUGCCAAAUUUUCUCCACUAGGUAAAGUCCCCAGGUGUGUGUUCUUAAGGAACUGUUCCAAGUGAUUCAUACAGUUUUUUUUUAAAGGCAGCUGUAACAAUUCCCUUGGUUUUGCUUGACAAGAUUAAUUCAACAGGAGUUUCUUGUGAGCUGUGGGAUGAUAGGGAAUUAGUUGUGUGGAGGGGUGGGGCUCCAUGCUGGGCUCCUAGCCCUCCCUGGGGCAAAAUACAAAAUCCAGGCUCUUCCUACCCUCCAUGUCAGCUGCCAGAUGCAGUGGAUGACACUCUUGGCCCAGAGUCAGGGAGAUUUCUGUACAAAUCCAGCCUUAGGUACUUACUAGCUGUGUGAACCUGGGCGAGUCAUUUAAGCCUGUUUAUCUCAGCUUCCUGAUCUGUAAAAUUG